UCACUUGUCCCUUAAAUGAGGACGCGUAUGAAAGGCGACAUGAGAGAACACCUGUCUCCUAAGGAAUGCCAAUGAAAUUGAACUACCAGUUCAAAAGCUGGUAUAAAAAAGCAAGACAAAAAGACCCUGUGGAACUUUAAUUAACUGCUUUACACUGCAAACCAGUAAUUUCAGUUGGGACAACUUUAGAAAAAAUAAACUUCCUAAUUUUACUAGACUGACUAGUCCAAAAUAACUAUGACCCAGUAACACUGAUUAACGAAACAAGCUACCCCAGGGAUAACAGCGCCACCUUCUCAAAGAGUCCAUAUCAACAAGAAGAUCUACGACCUCGAUGUUGGAUCAGGGUACCCAGACGGUG
rnacentral:rRNA from 1 species